rnacentral:rRNA from 1 species
GGGAGGACCACCUCCCAAGGCUAAAUACUACCUGAUGACCGAUAGUGAAGCAGUACCGUGAGGGAAAGGUGAAAAGAACCCCGGGAGGGGAGUGAAAUAGAACCUGAAACCGUGUGCCUACAACCGCUCAGAGCCCCUUAUGAGGGUGAUGAGGUGCUUUUUGUAGAACGAGCCAACGAGUUACGGUAUGUAGCAAGGUUAAGUACUUAAGGUACGGAGCCGAAGGGAAACCGAGUCUGAAUAGGGCGACUAGUUGCAUGCCGUAGACCCGAAACCGGGUGACCUAUCCAUGGCCAGGUUGAAGCGAGGGUAAAACCUCGUGGAGGACCGAACCACGUUGCUGUUGAAAAAGCAUGGGAUGAGCUGUGGAUAGCGGAGAAAUUCCAAUCGAACCCGGAGAUAGCUGGUUCUCUCCGAAAUAGCUUUAGGGCUAGCGUCGAGUAUGAGUAGUGGAGGUAGAGCACUGAAUGGGCUAGGGGGCAUAGCGCUUACCGAACCUUAUCAAACUCCGAAUGCCACAUACUUUGAGCUCGGCAGUCAGACUACGAAUGAUAAGAUCCGUGGUCAAAAGGGAAACAGCCCAGAUCGUCAGCUAAGGUCCCAAAGUGUAAGUUAAGUGGGAAAGGAUGUGAGAUUUCUAAGACAACUAGGAUGUUGGCUUAGAAGCAGCCAUUCAUUAAAAGAGUGCGUAAUAGCUCACUAGUCGAGAGAUCUUGCGCCGAAAAUGUAACGGGGCUAAACUUACCACCGAAGCUACGGGCUUGAACUUAGUUCAAGCGGUAGGAGAGCGUCGUAACCGGGCUGAAGUCGUACCGUAAGGAGCGGUGGACUGGUUACGAGUGAGAAUGUUGGCAUCAGUAGCGAGAUGUGGGUGAGAAUCCCACAGGCCGAAAACCUAAGGUUUCCUCAGGAAGGUUCGUCCGCUGAGGGUUAGUCGGGACCUAAGCCGAGGCCGAAAGGCGUAGGUGAUGGACAACUGGUUGAUAUUCCAGUACCACUACCAUCGUUAUUAUCGAUGGCGUGACGCAGGAGGAUAGUGUGUGCUAGCUAUUGGAUGCUAGUCUAAGCGUUUAGGCAGUGAGAGUAGGCAAAUCCGCUCUCAUAAUGCUGAGGCGUGAUGGGGAAGGUUCUACGGAACCGAAGUACAUGAUUCCACGCUGCCAAGAAAAGCGUCUAGAGAGAGAAGUAGUGCCCGUACCGCAAACCGACACAGGUAGGUGAGGAGAGAAUCCUAAGGCCGGCGGAAGAAUUACAGUUAAGGAACUCGGCAAAUUGACCCCGUAAGUUCGCGAGAAGGGGUGCCUACGAGAGUAGGCCGCAGAGAAUAGGCCCAAGCAACUGUUUAGCAAAAACACAGGUCUCUGCUAAAGCGUAAGCUGAUGUAUAGGGGCUGACGCCUGCCCGGUGCUGGAAGGUUAAGGGGAACACUUAGCGCAAGCGAAGGUGUGAACUUAAGCCCCAGUAAACGGCGGCCGUAACUAUAACGGUCCUAAGGUAGCGAAAUUCCUUGUCAGGUAAGUUCUGACCCGCACGAAUGGCGUAAUGACUUGGGCACUGUCUCAACUGUAAAUCCGGCGAAGUUGUAGUGCGAGUGAAGAUGCUCGCUACCCGCGAUUGGACGGAAAGACCCCGUAGAGCUUUACUGUAGCUUAGCAUUGAGUUUUGGUAUUGUCUGUACAGGAUAGGUGGGAGACUAGGAAACCAGGGCGUCAGCCUUGGUGGAGUCAACCUUGGGAUACCACCCUGACAGUACUGAAAUUCUAACUGGCGGCCAUGAAUCUGGUCACAGGACAUUGUUAGGUGGGCAGUUUGACUGGGGCGGUCGCCUCCUAAAAAGUAACGGAGGCGCCCAAAGGUUCCCUCAGAACGGUCGGAAAUCGUUCGAAGAGUGCAAAGGCAGAAGGGAGCCUGACUGCGACACCCACAAGUGGAGCAGGGACGAAAGUCGGGCUUAGUGAUCCGGUGGUACCUCGUGGGAGGGCCAUCGCUCAACGGAUAAAAGCUACCUCGGGGAUAACAGGCUGAUCUCCCCCAAGAGUCCACAUCGACGGGGAGGUUUGGCACCUCGAUGUCGGCUCGUCGCAUCCUGGGGCUGAAGUAGGUCCCAAGGGUUGGGCUGUUCGCCCAUUAAAGCGGCACGCGAGCUGGGUUCAGAACGUCGUGAGACAGUUCGGUCCCUAUCCGUCGCGGGCGUAGGAAAUUUGAGAGGAGCUGUCCUUAGUACGAGAGGACCGGGAUGGACUGACCUCUGGUGUACCAGUUGUUCCGCCAGGAGCACAGCUGGGUAGCUAAGUCGGGAAUGGAUAAACGCUGAAAGCAUCUAAGCGUGAAGCCAACCUCAAGAUGAGAUUUCCCAUAGCGUAAGCUAGUAAGAUCCCUUGAAGAACACAAGGUUGAUAGGUCGGGGGUGUAAGCAUGGUAACAUGUUCAGCUGACCGAUACUAAUAGAUCGAGGGCUUGACCAAAU